GAUGAAGAACGUAGCGAAAUGUGAUAAGUAAUGUGAAUUGCAGAAUUCCGUGAAUCAUCGAAUCUUUGAACGCACAUUGCGCCCUCUGGUAUUCCGGGGGGCAUGCCUGUCCGAGCGUCAUUUGCAACCCUCAAGCCCGGCUUGUGUGAUGGGUGCCGUCCCCUACGGGACGCGCCCCGAAGGCAAUGGCGGCGUCGCGGUUAUCCGAUCAGCCAAAGUGUAUGGGGCUUUGUCACUCACUUUACGGCCCGGACCGGCGCCAGUCCGAAUCAAUCUUUUUUCUAAAGUUGACCUCGGAUCAGGUAGGGAUACCCGCUGAACUUAAGCAUAUCAAUAAGCGGAGGA
rnacentral:misc_RNA from 1 species